rnacentral:rRNA from 1 species
GACGAACGCUGGCGGCGUGCCUAAUACAUGCAAGUUGAGCGCUGAAGGUUGGUACUUGUACCCACUGGAUGAGCAGCGAACGGGUGAGUAACGCGUGGGGAAUCUGCCUUUGAGCGGGGGACAACAUUUGGAAACGAAUGCUAAUACCGCAUAAAAACUUUAAACACAAGUUUUAAGUUUGAAAGAUGCAAUUGCAUCACUCAAAGAUGAUCCCGCGUUGUAUUAGCUAGUUGGUGAGGUAAAGGCUCACCAAGGCGAUGAUACAUAGCCGACCGGAGAGGGUGGUCGGCCAAAUUGGGACUGAGACACGGCCCAAACUCCUACGGGAGGCAGCAGUAGGGAAUCUUCGGCAAUGGACGAAAGUCUGACCGAGCAACGCCGCGUGAGUGAAGAAGGUUUUCGGAUCGUAAAACUCUGUUGGUAGAGAAGAACGUUGGUGAGAGUGGAGAGCUCAUCAAGUGACGGUAACUACCCAGAAAGGGACGGCUAACUACGUG